rnacentral:lncRNA from 1 species
AAUUUUUCGCUUUUGGAGUUGACACACUAGUGGUUGAAGAUUCUUCUUCUUGCUGAACCAGAUUUGGGUUAAAAUCAUGCCAAUAACCCUCAUGAAUCAAAUUGUUCAUGUUAACCUCAAGUAUAUUGUUAUCAAAAGUUUCAAUUGCAUCAACACCAUUACUAUCAACGCUAGGCAACAGCUUACCUUGGUUAACCCACGGCACAUCUACAUAAUGAGGAUCCAUUCCUUCAUACUUCAAAUGAGCCUCAAUCACUUGUGGUUCAUGCCAAUACUGUUUUAACAUUUAUGACAAGGGCAUUUUAGUUUUCCCUCAAAUUAAGCUUGACCCAUAGCGGUGCUAAUGAAUGCACACAGUCCCUUAAGAUAGUCAUCUCCUAGUUUAUGCAAAGCACCUAAUCCUUGUUCACCUCUAAACAUGAGUCCCAAACAAGAUAAAACAGAAGAAAAAAAAAACAUAUUACAUCUAUAAUAAAGAAAAUGACACUGCGAAAUAUCAACACAAAAAAAUGGAUAAAAGUUCA